GAACAGACCACCCAGUAGCUAAACAUUUUUUGGCAGCUUCACAUAGACUUCCAACACUCAAAUUUGUGGCCAUUGACCAUGUUCCCCCGCUACCUCGCAGGGGUAACAGGUCUAAACAUCUGCUUCAAAGAGAAGCUUAUUGGAUCUUUAAACUGGAUACAGUUACACCUAAAGGACUGAACGAAUAUAAUACGUACUCGAUGUUCUUGUGAAUUGCAUUUUAUAUUGGCUUGGAUAACU